CCUACGGGUGGCAGCAGUGAGGAAUAUUGGUCAAUGGACGAGAGUCUGAACCAGCCAAGUAGCGUGAAGGAUGACUGCCCUAUGGGUUGUAAACUUCUUUUAUAUGGGAAUAAAAUGUUCCACGUGUGGGAUUUUGUAUGUACCAUAUGAAUAAGGAUCGGCUAACUCCGUGCCAGCAGCCGCGGUAAUACGGAGGAUCCGAGCAUUAGCCGGAUUUAUUGGGUUUAAAGGGGGUGUAGGUUGAUUGUUAAGUUAGUUGUGAAAGUUUGCGGCUCAACCGUAAAAGUGCAGUUGAAACUGGCAGUCCUGAGUACAGUAGGGGUGGGCGGAAUUCGUGGUGUAGCGGUGAAAUGCGUAGAUAUCACGAAGAACUCCGAUUGCGAAGGCAGUUCACUGGACAGCAACUGACACUGAGGCUCGAAAGUGUGGGUAUCAAACAGGAUUAGAUACCCCUGUAGUC
rnacentral:rRNA from 1 species